rnacentral:rRNA from 1 species
UCUACCACCGGGAUGUUCAUAACCCUUUGUUGUCCGACUCUGUUGCCUCCGGGGCGACCCUGCCUUCGGGCGGGGGCUCCGGGUGGACACUUCAAACUCUUGCGUAACUUUGCAGUCUGAGUAAACUUAAUUAAUAAAUUAAAACUUUUAACAACGGAUCUCUUGGUUCUGGCAUCGAUGAAGAACGCAGCGAAAUGCGAUAAGUAAUGUGAAUUGCAGAAUUCAGUGAAUCAUCGAAUCUUUGAACGCACAUUGCGCCCCCUGGUAUUCCGGGGGGCAUGCCUGUUCGAGCGUCAUUUCACCACUCAAGCCUCGCUUGGUAUUGGGCAACGCGGUCCGCCGCGUGCCUCAAAUCGACCGGCUGGGUCUUCUGUCCCCUAAGCGUUGUGGAAACUAUUCGCUAAAGGGUGUUCGGGAGGCUACGCCGUAAAACAACCCCAUUUCUAAGGUUGACCUCGGAUCAGGUAGGGAUACCCGCUGAACUUAAGCAUAUCAAUAAGCGGAGGAAAAAGAAA